rnacentral:rRNA from 1 species
UACGUAGGGUGCAAGCGUUGUCCGGAAUCAUUGGGCGUAAAGCGCGCGUAGGUGGCUUCGUAAGUCCGUUGUGAAAGUCAAAGGCUCAACCUUUGAAUGCCGAUGGAUACUGCGAAGCUAGAGUACGGAAGAGGCGAGUGGAAUUCCUGGUGUAGCGGUGGAAUGCGCGAGUAUCAGGAGGAACACCGGUGGCGAAGGCGGGUCU